rnacentral:rRNA from 1 species
GACGAACGCUGGCGGCGUGCCUAUUACAUGCAAGUAGAACGCUGAAGGAGGAGCUUGCUUCUCUGGAUGAGUUGCGAACGGGUGAGUAACGCGUAGGUAACCUGCCUGGUAGCGGGGGAUAACUAUUGGAAACGAUAGCUAAUACCGCAUAAGAGUAGAUGUUGCAUGACAUUUGCUUAAAAGGUGCAAUUGCAUCACUACCAGAUGGACCUGCGUUGUAUUAGCUAGUUGGUGGGGUAACGGCUCACCAAGGCGACGAUACAUAGCCGACCUGAGAGGGUGAUCGGCCACACUGGGACUGAGACACGGCCCAGACUCCUACGGGAGGCAGCAGUAGGGAAUCUUCGGCAAUGGACGGAAGUCUGACCGAGCAACGCCGCGUGAGUGAAGAAGGUUGUCGGAUCGUAAAGCUCUGUUGUAAGAGAAGAACGAGUGUGAGAGUGGAAAGUUCACACUGUGACGGUAUCUUACCAGAAAGGGACGGCUAACUACGUG